rnacentral:lncRNA from 1 species
AAAAAAGGGCAUUGUUGGAGGGUGGGGACGGGUACUAAUAUUUGCAUAAGCGAUGCUUGGAUUCCAGAUUCUGUUAAUUUUAGAUUAUCAUCAGAUAUUAAUUUUUUGCGUGAUGUUAAAGUUGGCGAGUUGAUUGAUAAUAAUACCAGAAGUUGGAAAAAAGAGUUGAUUACUAGUACCUUCCUGGAAGACGACGCAGCUAGAAUCCUCAGAAUCCCUCUGGCACAAACACCGCAUGAUGAUUUUCUUAUCUGGGGAGGCGAACGGUCGGGUGAGUUUACGGUCAGAAGUGCCUAUCAACUAUUACAAAAAUUGACUGACAAUCCUAGAGCUUAUGCUUUACAGACCAUCUAUGGGAAUUUUUAUAAAAAAUUAUGGUGCCUGAAUCUACCAGCUAAAAUUAAGGUUACAAUAUGGAAGCUAUCUUGGAAUUAUCUGCCUACAAAGGUGAAUCUUCAACAUCGGAAGUUAGUAGUAAAUCCGAGCUGUCCCCGAUGUAGAGAAGAAGCUGAAACAAUGAACCACUUAUUUCGUUACUGUCAUGUUACAAGGGAGGUAUGGAGAUCAUUAUCGUUUCAGUGCAUUUUAAGGAAUCAUUGUGAAGAUUUUGUACAGUGGAUUACCUGGGCAAUAGAGCAGCUCAACCUUGAUCAAAGUCGCGUAUUUUGUUGUGCACUCUGGGCAAUAUGGGGCGACAGAAACAAAAGAAUACAUGAAGGUAAAAUUAGAAAGGGGACGGAAGUUGCAAAUCUUAUAAUCAGUUACAUCAAAGAAAUUGAUAGUCUUGAGAAGAGAGAUCUGAAUCGUGCCUUAGAGAAAAAGAGAUGGUCGCCACCACAGGAAAGUUUCAUGAAGAUCAACUUUGAUGGCGCAUACGAUAAAGGAAAGAAUCAGUCGGGUGUGGGUAUUGUGGCCAGAGAUUCGAAUGGUACUAUUCUUUUUUCAUACUCAGAGAUUCAUUUUGGUAUUCCAUCAGCCUUUGCUGCUGAAGCAAUUGCCUGCCGGAAAGGCGUUCAAAUGGGAAUCAGGAGGGUAUGGCGACAUUUGAUCCUUGAAGGAGACUCC